UACGUAGGGGGCAAGCGUUGUCCGGAGUUACUGGGCGUAAAGCGCACGCAGGCGGUCGCGUAAGAGUGCGGGGACAGUGGGCGGCUUAACUGCCCAAGGGUCGCACAGACUGCGUGACUGGAGGGCCAGAGAGGGACCUGGAAUUCCGGGUGGAGCGGUGAAAUGCGUAGAGAUCCGGAGGAACACCAAUGGCGAAGGCAGGGUCCUGGCGGGCACCUGACGCUCAUGUGCGAAAGCCAGGGGAGCGAACGGG
rnacentral:rRNA from 1 species